GUUUCACAUAAUGAGUAAUGUGUUAAUUUUGUUUUGAAAGAUAAUUCCUACAAAUACUGAGUGAUGUAGUGGAUGGCUGGAAAGAAGAGAGGCAGCUUGAUGGACGAAGCGGCAGCUUCUGGUGCUACCGGCCUCACCAUCUCUCUCCUAAGCGCCCUCACUUCACUCCCCAGAUUGUCGUGCUGUUUUUCUUGGGGGGGGUGGUGCCUCGUCAUCAGUGUCCACACCUUGAAGCAUACUAACCAAGACCCUCACGUCACCGUGCACGUCCCACGCUGCACCUGGAGGAAGGUGGUGCGCGACUGCCUUCUGGAGGCGGUUAUGAUCGUAAGAACUAGGAGGCCAGAAACAAUUCCAUGACUCCCCUGCCUCCUCCAACCAGCUGCUUGGCACUAUGGUAGUGCUCCUAUCUUUGAAUUCGACGACCUUCCACACCUGUGCCAUCUGUCAAUGAGGUGAAUGAAAGAAAAUUGAAGAAUUGGCCAAAACUGAACUUUUGAACUCUUAAAAAUGGGUAAACCGUCGAUGUUGAAUUGUAACCGAAUUGUCUGAAGGCAGCUAGGCAAAUGGAUUGAAUUCAAUUUUGAUAAAAUUCCCUUAGCCAAUCCAAAAUGGUGAUAUUCACCACCACCUAAUGCAUGCACAGCUAUUUUCUUUAGUGUGCCAAGAAGUGUCCUGGCAUCUUUAGGCAGCUCAGAGUGGUGUACUCUCAAUAUUGAUAGAAGAGCGGUAACUGCAACAAGAGUAAUGCCAAAAGUUGAUGCCCAUUGCUUUAGUUUAGCUUGUAAACUCAUUUCCUCAGGCUCACUUUCAUCACAGCUGGAUAACCCACUAAAAUCCUCUCUUUCACUGGCAUCACUGUCUGUAGUGUUUUGGUCAGGACUGUUCUCG
ensembl:lncRNA